UCCAAGGGAUUUAUAUACAGAAAAAGAGAACAAAAUACUCUUUUUGGUCUCUCCCCGAAGAUCCCAGAAACCCUAACCCUAGCCGCUCCAACUGCUAGAAACGAUACGAAAGAAUGGCGGAGCACUUGGCUUCCAUAUUUGGUACGGAAAAGGACCGAGUCAACUGUCCUUUUUACUUCAAGAUCGGAGCCUGUCGCCAUGGAGAUCGAUGCUCAAGGCUCCAUACCAAACCCAGCAUCAGCCCUACCCUAUUGCUUUCCAACAUGUACCAACGCCCCGAUAUGAUCACUCCAGGUGUUGAUCCUCAGGGUCAGCCCCUUGAUCCUAGCAAAAUCCAGGAUCACUUCGAGGAUUUUUAUGAAGAUCUGUUUGAAGAGCUUGGCAAAUACGGAGAGAUUGAAAGCCUAAACAUUUGUGAUAAUUUGGCUGACCAUAUGGUUGGAAAUGUGUAUGCACAGUUCAGGGAAGAAGAACAUGCUGCAGCUGCUCUCCAAAAUCUGAGUGGAAGGUUUUAUGCAGGUCGUCCCAUUAUCGUUGACUUUUCUCCAGUGACAGAUUUCCGUGAAGCAACUUGCAGACAAUAUGAAGAAAACGUAUGCAAUCGUGGUGGUUAUUGCAACUUCAUGCAUCUAAAAAAGAUCAACAAAGAUUUGAGGAGGCAGUUAUUCGGGAGGCGUAGGAGGAGCCGAAGCAGAAGCCGUAGUCCUCCGAGACACCGGAAUCAUGAUGACCGCCCACAAGGCGGUGGCGGUGGUGGUGGUGGUGGACGUGGGUAUGGGAGAAGAGGUGGUGGUGGUUACUCUGAUCACCGGAGCAAUGACAGGGGGAGGCGGCCGAGGAGUAGGAGUCCGGGGAGGAGAGGGGGGAGGAGCAGAAGUCCAGGAGGGAAGAGAAACCGGAGUCCGGUCAGGGAAGGGAGUGCUGAAAGAAGGGCAAAGAUUGAACAAUGGAAUAGAGAAAAAGAACAGGCGAAAUCUGGAACUAAUAAUGCUUCAAAUGUUAAUGAAAAUAAUGAAGGUGGUAAUACUAAUGAUGAUGGUGGUUUACAAAAUGGAGAAAAUUACCGUGAUGCCCCUCAGCCGAAGCAGCAAGAUGAUGGAAAUUAUGAUUACUGAUUGAUCAUCGCCGAAUCGUCUGGUUUGUUUUCUGUUUCUUGAUCUUGGAUUCUUGGUUUUAUACAAUUUGGUUUGUUUAAGAUAAAUGAGAGUUUAAAUUGAUUUGGGAGAAAUUAGAGGAGAUAAUUAGAAGUUUAUUAAAAAAAACUUUUUUUUAAGAAAAAAAAGGAAUCCCACUUGGAAGAUAUGGCUUACUGCCUGCUUUCCAUGUGCAGGAGUACAGGUUGACCGGUCAAAUCUAUUUUCUACUUUUGUUGACCUAUAAUGGUUUGUGAAGAAUGGUUCAGGGAAGGUGCUUAUUUUGUGCAGUUUAUCAUUAUAUUUGUAUACAGGUCAUCUUCAUCAAUGUUACUGUUGAGGAAGUAAAGGUGAUCAGAAGUUCAUUUAUGGUUGAUUUGUGAAGAACAGCUGGUGAAGUAGGAAAUCUGAUGUUAGGGAAAAGUCAAUUUCAAUGUUUUUGUAUGUUUUUGUUUCAUUUCAUUUGACAAUUUUUGGUUUGUAUUUGUAUGAAAGAUUGAGAAGUUCAAAUGGAGUUUUCUGGGAUAUUUCUGAUUCAA